rnacentral:sRNA from 1 species
GUCAUCUGUUCCGACAAGACAGGCACCCUCACCACCAACCAGAUGUCUGUCUGCAAGGGUCUUCCACUGACUCAGGCCAAGAACCCCUGCCCUUUGCAGAGUUUUGUGGAAGACUACACCCAUGAACUAGAAAUUGCUGUUCUGAGAAUCAAGAGCUGUGUGGUCAGAUCAGGAUGUUUAUCAUUGACAAGGUGGAUGGGGACAUCUGCCUCCUGAAUGAGUUCUCCAUCACCGGCUC